rnacentral:miRNA from 1 species
AUAAUAUAAUUAAUAAUGA